GGGGGUAUAGCUCAGUCGGUAAGAGCAGCGGACUCAUAAUCCGUUGGUCAUCGGUUCAAGUCCGUUUGCCCCCACCA
rnacentral:tRNA from 3 species